rnacentral:rRNA from 1 species
UACAGAGGAGCCAGGCGUUGUCCGGAUUGACUGGGCGUAAAGCGCACGCAGGCGGAUGCGCGCGUGGGGUGUGAAAUCUGGCCGCUUAACGGCCAGGCGCCAUCCCAUACGGCGCGUCUGGAGUGAUGCAGAGGUCGAUGGAAUUGCCGGUGUAGUGGUGAAAUGCGUAGAGAUCGGCAGGAACACCCAGGGGGAAACCAGUCGACUGGGCAUCUACUGACGCUGAGGUGCGAGAGCGUGGGGAGCGAACCGG